AGCGAACGCUGGCGGCAGGCUUAACACAUGCAAGUCGAGCGCCCCGCAAGGGGAGUGGCAGACGGGUGAGUAACACGUGGGAACGUACCCUUUGGUUCGGAAUAACUUGGGGAAACUCAAGCUAAUACCGGAUAAGCCCUUAUGGGGAAAGGUUUACUGCCGAAGGAUCGGCCCGCGUCUGAUUAGCUAGUUGGUGAGGUAAUGGCUCACCAAGGCGACGAUCAGUAGCUGGUCUGAGAGGAUGAUCAGCCACACUGGGACUGAGACACGGCCCAGACUCCUACGGGAGGCUGCAGUGGGGAAUAUUGGACAAUGGGGGCAACCCUGAUCCAGCCAUGCCGCGUGAGUGAUGAAGGCCUUAGGGUUGUAAAGCUCUUUUACCCGGGACGAUAAUGACUGUACCGGGAGAAUAAGCCCCGGCUAACUUCGUGCCAGCCGCCGCAGUAA
rnacentral:rRNA from 1 species